rnacentral:rRNA from 1 species
AUUGAACGCUGGCGGAAUGCUUUACACAUGCAAGUCGAACGGCAGCACGGACUUCGGUCUGGUGGCGAGUGGCGAACGGGUGAGUAAUACAUCGGAACGUGCCCGGACGUGGGGGAUAACUACUCGAAAGAGUGGCUAAUACCGCAUACGAUCCAAGGAUGAAAGCGGGGGAGUCGCAAGACCUCGCGCGUUUGGAGCGGCCGAUGGCAGAUUAGGUAGUUGGUGAGGUAAAGGACUUACCAAGCCUGCGAUCUGUAGCUGGUCUGAGAGGAUGAUCAGCCACACUGGGACUGAGACACGGCCCAGACUCCUACGGGAGGCAGCAGUGGGGGAAUUUU